CCUACGGGUGGCUGCAGUGGGGAAUAUUGGACAAUGGGGGGAACCCUGAUCCAGCCAUGCCGCGUGUGUGAAGAAGGCCCUCGGGUUGUAAAGCACUUUCAGUGAGGAAGAACGCCUGGUGGUUAAUACCCAUCAGGAAAGACAUCACUCACAGAAGAAGCACCGGCUAACUCCGUGCCAGCAGCCGCGGUAAUACGGAGGGUGCGAGCGUUAAUCGGAAUUACUGGGCGUAAAGCGCGCGUAGGUGGCUUGAUAAGCCGGUUGUGAAAGCCCCGGGCUCAACCUGGGAACGGCAUCCGGAACUGUCAAGCUAGAGUGCAGGAGAGGAAGGUAGAAUUCCCGGCGUAGCGGUGAAAUGCGUAGAGAUCGGGAGGAAUACCAGUGGCGAAGGCGGCCUUCUGGACUGACACUGACACUGAGGUGCGAAAGCGUGGGUAGCAAACAGGAUUAGAUACCCUGGUAGUC
rnacentral:rRNA from 1 species